GUUUCGACUAAGCCAUGCGAGUCAAGGGGUCGCAAGACCCCGGCGUACCGCUCAGUAACACGCGGAUAAUCUACCCCCAGGUGAGGUAUAACCUCGGGAAACUGAGGAUAAUCCCUCAUAGUUAUCAUAUGCUGGAAUGCUUUGAUGACGAAAGCCUUUCGCCUGAGGACGAGUCUGCGGCCUAUCAGGUCGUAUGUGAUGUAAAGGACCACAUAGCCUAGGACGGGUACGGGCCCUGAAAGGGGGAGCCCGGAGAUGGACUCUGAGACACAAGUCCAGGCCCUACGGGGCGCAGCAGGCGCGAAAACUGUGCAAUGCGCGAAAGCGCGACACGGGAAACCUGAGUGCCUUGACAAUGUCAAGGCUUUUCUUAAGCCUAAAAAGCUUAAGGAA
rnacentral:rRNA from 1 species